rnacentral:rRNA from 1 species
UACGGGGGGGGCAAGCGUUGUUCGGAAUCAUUGGGCGUAAAGGGCGUGUAGGCGGUUUGUUAAGUCAUGUGUGAAAUCCCUCGGCUCAACCGGGGAACGACGCAUGAAACUGGCAAGCUAGAGUACCAAAGAGGGGGUGGAAUUCCCGGUGUAGCGGUGAAAUGCGUAGAGAUGCGGAGGAACACCAGUGGCGAAGGCGGCUCACUGGCCCGAUACUGACGCUGAGGCACGAAAGCGUGGGGAGCAAACAGG